GUUAGCGUAGCAAAACCCGGUAUUGCAAAAGACCUAAACCCUUCCCAAUAGAGGUUCAACUCCUCUCGCUAACU
rnacentral:tRNA from 1 species